rnacentral:rRNA from 1 species
CCCGCAACGAGCGCAACCCUUGCCUUAGUUGCCAUCAUUCAGUUGGGCACUCUAGAGGGACUGCCCGGUGUCAAACCGGAGGAAGGUGGGGAUGACGUCAAGUCCUCAUGGCCUUUAUGCCCAGGGCUACACACGUGCUACAAUGGGCGGUACAAAGAGAAGCCAACUCGCGAGAGCGCGCCAACCUCAAAAAGCCAUCCUCAGUUCGGAUUGGAGUCUGCAACUCGACUCCAUGAAGUUGGAAUCGCUAGUAAUCGCGGAUCAGCAUGCCGCGGUGAAUACGUUCCCGGGCCUU